AACUCUGAAGAAAAUAUAGUGUACCCAAAUACAAAUUGUGUAACAUUUUGAUCAUAAUCAUAUUACUGAAAACACAGAAAAGAUGUGGAGAACUUCAAAGAAUAACAAACAUAUAAUCAUACACAUGUGCACUAUAGAAGAGACCCCCACACCCUAGGGAUGGUACCCGGGAACUAAGGCAGCACUAUUAUUACUAAUCAGUCCACUAAAAACGAACAGCAAUCAACUUGGUAUAACGUGCACAAGCUGUAUAGCCUCUUGCAAACAAAAAUAAAUAAAAUUGGAUGAACAUUAACAUGAAACUUAGCAGUCAUCUUCAAUAAUUUAGUACAUAUGAUAGAAACUCGAAUUAAAAGAAAGGGAACAAUUGUACUAUUGAAUUGAAAAUUGAUGUAUUACAGAAGAUAAUCUCUGUAACCCUAGAGCAAAAGCUCCUCAGAGAAGAGACAUUUCUCUCUCUGCCUAAACCCUAAGGUUCUGAUGAACAAAAUGAUCAAAGAUAAUCCUCACUCUCUAUUCUCAUUCCUUUAUAUAACCAACUCACUUUCUCUCUCUCUCAUGUAACUAACUCUCCCUCUAAGUGGGCCUAUGUGUACAUAUUAGAUCCUAUCAAUGCCACCCCCUUAAAAUCUGCCUUGUCCUCAAGGCAGAGAAAAAAUAAUUCCCAAUUGCUUGCUUUAUACUGUUGAACUCAAUGGAGUCCAUGAAAAGUCUAGUCCAUGCAUGAAGAGCAAAUAAUCACUGCGAUAAUGUGGAAUGGAAGAGCAUGUGAUCACUAAAAUAUUUAAGAGCUUCAAGGCUGAAAUAUGCAUCCCUUGCUGCAACAUCUUUCCUUUGCACCAAAACUUGCCUCUAUCAAAUACAAAGUUGAGCAAUCCAUUCAAAGUGAAGAACAUUAUCCAACAAAUUUCAUGAACAGCAACUACCAUAGAAAAACUGAAUUCUCUUGAGUCUUGUUGGCUCAUAAAAAAGGAUGAACACCAGAAUAUCAUGUUGAAAGAAGGUACAGAGUGUACUUUAAUUUCAUACCCACACAACAAUGCAUUCCACACAAGGUCAUGUAAUUUUGCUCCAAUCUGAAUACAAGCUCUUGUCAGAGAAACAUGCUCAUGUUUUUUAUCUUUCUUAAUCAAUCUAGUUUCCCUAAAAGCACUCUCAUCAUCAUAAAAUCCCACCAUGUAUACAUGCAUCUUUUCUCCAAUUGGCAGCACCAAUGAAUCAUCACAUGAUGAUAACAAACUAGGGAGAAUUUCCAAACUUAAAACCACAACAGCAUCAAACAUUAUCCUUAAGUAUUUAAAAAUGUUCAUAAGUAUCCAUUGUUGUGUAAUCUCACUCAUCAAGGGGUUCCCAUCUUUCCCUUUGUGUUUCAUGACAAGAAUUAAAGUAAGCAUAGCUAAUCUUAUUACCAAGUAAGGACAUAAAAACUUAUUUGGUCCAUCAAGUAGACUUUUAACCCACUGUAUAAGCUUGCUACUCUUGUCUAUGCUAUAACCUCUAGAAUAUUUUGCUAGAGAAGAAUUAGCCGCAUUAGCUAAAACAAAAGUUGAGAAGUGAGUAACAUUAAUUACAGUUGCAUAUAUUCCAGUGGUCAACAUUAUCACUAUACUCAUACCAUUUGGCACCAAGGUAUAUCUAAGACAAGUAAAAUUCUCUAGUAUCAAUGAGUAAACUAGUGAAUCAGCCAGUUUGUGCUUAAACAAGAAUUUUGCAGCUUUGGAUCUAUCAACACCAAGUUGUUUUUGUUUUGUGAACAAGAUCAUAAGGUUUGAAAAAUCAGGUGUGUGCACCUCUUGCCAUGUUGACCUUCGGUGGUGUGGGGUUUCACUAAUUGCAUGAUCAAACACUAGACAAUAGUGUAAUCCAUGGAGUUGAUACAUGUCAUUACCUAUGGCCACAGUCUUUGUUGUACUCCAAAUUUCAGCAGGUGAUACAUUAGAACUAAUAACCAUCCAUCUAAACUCAUUUUUCAGUAACCCAAUAUUAAUUUGAGCCUCACCCUUUUUGUUAUAAAAUUGACCCAACUCACAUUGCAUUGUGUCAGCAUGACACAUAACAGAUAAAAAAUGUGCAUUUAGUGACCCAUGAGAGAGAAGAGGGGUUGAGUGUUGACCUGAUGAAGACACGUGUAACAAGUGAAAAAUGGGAGGCAGAGAUUUGUGCAUGUGGCCCAUUAGGUUUAAAGUGAUACACAACUCACCAAUUUCCCUUUUUGCCCCUGCCUUCUCUAGAACAUUCUCACCUUCACCUUCAGCAACAAAGCCACACUCGUGAACGGAAUUGUAACCGGAGUACGGUGGUUCUGACGACUUUAAUGGCGGUCCACCAAGACUCUUUUGAACCUUCCCUAUCUUCUUGGCACUCAAUAACGUAUAGACUACCCCGUCAACGGAAUCCUGUAGAUCCGGUGGUCUCGGCGGUGGUGCUCGCCGUGGAACUGUUGUCACGUGCUGACCGGAGUCCGGUGGUGGUUCUGGCGAAGGCGGAUCUGAUACCUCCUUAGAUGAUGCAACUGCGUCUGACGGUUCCGGCAACGACGGUGGCCGUGCAUCCUGCGAUGGUGACGAAGAUUUGUCGACUGUAAUCUCUUGUUUCCUUUGUCUCACCUCCGUGAUCGAUUCUGCGUGAAUGAUGUCCGGUGAUGGUUGCAAAUUGAUCAACCUUCGUGAAACAAGUGCCUCAGUCAACGUCACUUCUUCCUUCUCCUUUGUUGCUGAGCUUAGAUUCAAGUUCAAUUUCGUCUUCUCUGUUUCUUCAAUUCCGCUUUGAACUGAAUCAUUACUAGAGGUUUCGCGCUCCUGAGUUACCCUCUUGGAAUCAAGUUUUUUGCUCAAUUCCGUCAUAAUCACACUCUGUUGAAGCAUUUGUUGAGAGAGUUGCUGCAUCUGAGAAGCAAGACUUUGCAGUGUGGUUGUCACAGUUUCCAUCAUCUCUAGUGCAUCUACAAAUCUCCGGUGGUGAGAGUUGAUCCGGUAGGUCGGACCAAUUGAUAGAAACUCGAAUUAAAAGAAAGGGAACAAUUGUACUAUUGAAUUGAAAAUUGAUGUAUUACAGAAGAUAAUCUCUGUAACCCUAGAGCAAAAGCUCCUCAGAGAAGAGACAUUUCUCUCUCUGCCUAAACCCUAAGGUUCUGAUGAACAAAAUGAUCAAAGAUAAUCCUCACUCUCUAUUCUCAUUCCUUUAUAUAACCAACUCACUUUCUCUCUCUCUCAUGUAACUAACUCUCCCUCUAAGUGGGCCUAUGUGUACAUAUUAGAUCCUAUCAACAUAUGUCUUUAAAAGAAAUAACAGUGCAUGGCGAAAAUGGUGGUUUUAAACUUGGUUGUCAAUCCUGGAUAGCUGCCAGCACCAAAAUUGUGAUAGCACAGUUGCACAUUGCGGGAUGGCCACUAUGUUAUGGGACUAGCUUAUCUAAGACCAUAUGCCCAGCUUGGCCAAGAACUUAUCUACACUAUGUUAUCGUGGAACUAUUUUUUGCUCAAAGGAGCGUAUUUUCCCUGAAGUUAGAGAUGUUAUACUCCAUAAGUUGGUGCUCUUACUGGUUGUAUGUGAAUGAUAUAAAGAGAUUUGUGUAAAAGGUAUCGGGAAAAUGUUGUAAUAUGUGUAGUUCUACUCCUUACACUAAUGCUGUUAUCUUUCUGCUAUUGCUAAAACUUUUCAAUUGAAACCUUAUGGUGAUGUUUGUGAUCCCGUGUUACAUAUUUUGAAAAAAUUCCUAUCCAAUAGUAAU
rnacentral:lncRNA from 1 species